rnacentral:lncRNA from 1 species
AUGCAUGAACAUUGAUGGAAGCUACACUUCAUAAUGAAAUCUCAAUGUGAAUUCCAUAACAGAACCCAGACAACAUAAACAGUAACAAAGGAGCAAAGACUAACAAUAUUGACAUAAUCUCAGUUAAAACAGUUCAAACUCUUUGAUUUCUACGGUAUUUUGAAGCUAUACAACCUAUUGAUAACAUAAUGUAGUCAGAAAUACACUAUUAAGGUGGCAAGAGGACCAUAAACAAAUCUGAUGUACUACUCCCUUCAAAUGACUUGUUAUUUCAGUAGUACGGUCUGUACCUCACAGAACUGCUGAAAAUUCAUCUACUUGGACACUUGUUCACCCUGCCAAACAAACAAGCAAAAGAACAAGUCCAAGUUGAGAUAGAAAAGAUAAAUGAACACGAAAGAUACAAGAUUGGUUCGAAUCAAGUAGCACAUUCUUCAGAUUAUAUGUACCACUAUCUUAUAGCUCAGAUUAUAGACAAGUAAACACCAUCCCAAUCAGGCAACCAACAACCAAUCGAACAACUCAACUAUAUAUUAAUUGCUAGUGUGCACUGUAGUCGGCAGUAGAAUGCCCCAGAAUUCGAAGUAGAUGAGACUCACCUCUCUGACGAACCAACACAGCAGCUCGCACUCGGUGAUCCAUUACCCUGCCUACACCAAGGACACCUCCACCGGCUCAGUGAAGGGCUCCCUUGCCACCGGAAAGCAACAGUGCUGGAGACAAAAUCCAAGCGAUGAUAGAGAUGUGAAAAUGGGUGGCAUGUUGAGAUCGAACCAGUAUGGUAAGUGACUAUUUCAUCAGAGACAGAUGGAAAUCGUACCACCCACAACAACUUGUCACCUAACAAUGCAUAUCCAUGGACAAUUUCUGUGGGAAAAUCAAAAUAACACACACCAAAGUACCAAAGUACAAAGUGAUUAAGUGAGAAUCCUAAAUAUUCCAAUGAGAAAGAACAUAAAGGGGACCAGUACCUGAAAUAUUGUGCAAUCAUAUCCAGAGCAGGUGAAGAAACACACAACAUACUAAUGAAUCCAAACCCUUAAAACCAUAUAGAUUUUUCUUUGUGCUAAUAUUCUGCAUCUGCAAGUCCUUCACUACCAAUGGUAAUAAUUACACUUGUCAGCAUAAUAUAUAAGACAAAGAUACUAUUGUUCUCUUAAGAGAUAUAGAUAACCGAAAUAUAUGUAUAUAGGUAACAUACUUUGACGUACAAUAAAUAAGAAAAAGAUAGUAUUGUUCUCUUAAGACAAACCAUUUGAUCCCAUUGCUUCCAAGUCGCAAAUCUUUACUCGUUCUGUAGUUUUCUUGUUAGCAUUUAUGUCGUGAACAAAGCUUCUUUAUCCAACUACCAAAUCUGAAUGUUG